CUGGGUUCAAACGUAGGGUUAAUAGUAACAACCAGUCUAAUAGAGUCAACUUGGCUAGUAAUAAUAAAACUAAUUCUGUGGUUGGAACAUCUUCAUCUGUUAGUGGAAAUGGUUUACCUUUUACAUCUGAGCAGAUUGGUAAGUUGUUGAGUCUUGUUGGAGAAAAGGGUGGAUCUGAUUCUCAGAAUCAGAAUGUAGGAGGAUUCCAGUUCAAAGAGAAUCCUGAUGAGUGGUAGACAGGACUGUGGUCUGUAUUUUGUAGGAAAUGCUGGUUGCCAUCUUAUGUGUUGAAUGGUAGGAGUCCUUUUGAAAUGAUGUUUAACUUUAGACCCUCUUUAUCUCAUCUAAGAAACUUUGGGUGUUUGUGUUUUAGUACUAUUUUACAUGAAUCUCAUAAAUUUUCUUAUC